GUUCGGAAAACAGAUAAAAAAGCAAUUUGUUGAUGGCGCCAAAAACUUGAUUUUCAAUAUUCAGCUCAGAUCAAUAUCCUGGGAUGACAAUGAGGAGUCAAACAUUACCAAAUCUUCUUCUGAUGGUUUUUCUUGUUUUGCUGUUCCCUAUGCAUUCUAAGACAUGUGUGACGGAUUAUUCCACGCCAUACGGCUGUGCGGACAUUGAUGGGAAGUGUAAGGCGGCGGCGGGGGAAUGUUACAUGGUCCCCACCCUUUAUUACGGGGACCAGUGCUGUUGCUCCACUGACGAGUCAUGUCGAUGGAUUGAACCCGACUCCAGUCUUGUAAAGAAAACGGAUGAUGAACUAUAGACAUGGUUUUAUUUAAAGUGCAAAACUGUGCAUUUAAACCAGAGAGAUGGAUUCAUUAUGUGGAAUUCUUUUUCUUGUAUUAUUAAAAACAUAACGAUAUAG